ACAUGGCUGUUAUUAGUCAUUCAGUAAAAGAAUAAGGGCAGUUUUGACAUUAUUUCCUAACUCUGUGUCCUAAUGCUCUAUCCAGAAUCGUCUAGAAAUUGAUGGAACCAGCGAUAAUCAUCUCUGAUGCUCUCUUUUCUCCCAGACCCUUUAGUCCUAAUCUUCUUCAACCUCACACAAGUCCUCUCUCAUGAAAUCUAUUCUUAACCUCCUAUAUAGGGUUUUACUGCUCCGACUUCAUUAUGCAGGUGGAUCGGGAACGAAUUACUUUAGCUUUUAGGAGCACUGCAAGAACACAAUCCUCCAUAGGAAUCGCUGGAAAAGAAUAUAUGUUGGACUCCAAUUAGUUCAGUUUAUCAAACCUAUCCGACUCUUGAUACUCUGGGAAGUACCAAAAGGAGAAUAAACAAAAGAUACUUUAUGUUGUCGACAGAAUAUAGAUUUGUGGCAGAAUUCUGGCUGAUUUUGUUGACCGUGAUGAUAAUAGUUAAUCUGUACAUUCACUAUCCUAUCUAGAUUCAAAAGGUCUCUUUUCUAGAAGAACUUGAUAUAGAAGAUGAGGAACUACUUACAAAAUGGAGUUGGGAAAUAAAUCUAUAGAUAAUACUCACAACGAAGUGAUGUUAAGCUAAAACUUGCUGCAGUUUCCAAUUGCUUCUUUUCUUAUCAUUUAAGCCUUGGCAUAAUUGAUUUUACUGGCAAACCGGUCGAAGGAAGGCGAUGGUGGUUGAGUGCAAAUGACCCCUUUCAGUGCCUAGCUGCAUGCACAUCAAUCUUAGUGAAGAUGUUAGAAGCUCAUCCCAGAGACGACUAUUUCUCAUGUUCUUGUGCACCAAUUGUGCAGGUAUCUUGUGUCAAAAGCUGUUAAGAAGAAGGCUACAACUAAGACUAAACGCUGGGUAAAAAUGCAUUACUGAUUUCCAGUAUGUAAAUAGUUGUGACCUGUAGAUAGUUCUCCCGUAUAUUUGUUGUAAAGAAUAUAUACUGUGUCAUUUGCCAGUAUUACGCAACCAUGAUGUUAGUCCAAAAUGUCUGAACAUAUUCAUCAAUUUGUUGUUCCAGCUUUUAUACCAUUCACGGGCCAUACCCACCUUGUGAUAAUUAAUACUCUCUUUAUCAA